rnacentral:rRNA from 1 species
AGCUUGGCGAUACAGGGUGAUAGCCCCGUAACCGACGCUUCAUCGAGCGUGAAAUCGAGUAGGGCGGGACACGUGAUAUCCUGUCUGAAUAUGGGGGGACCAUCCUCCAAGGCUAAAUACUCCUGACUGACCGAUAGUGAACCAGUACCGUGAGGGAAAGGCGAAAAGAACCCCUGUGAGGGGAGUGAAAUAGAACCUGAAACCGUGUACGUACAAGCAGUAGGAGCACCUUCGUGGUGUGACUGCGUACCUUUUGUAUAAUGGGUCAGCGACUUAUAUUCAGUGGCAAGGUUAACCGUAUAGGGGAGCCGUAGCGAAAGCGAGUCUUAACUGGGCGCUCAGUCUCUGGAUAUAGACCCGAAACCGGGUGAUCUAGCCAUGGGCAGGUUGAAGGUUGAGUAACAUCAACUGGAGGACCGAACCGACUAAUGUUGAAAAAUUAGCGGAUGACUUGUGGCUAGGGG